CCAAAGUUUUUGGAGACUGCAACUUCUGAGCUUUGAUUCCUGACAACUGGAGCAGGAAAACCACCAGGAAGAGGUCUGCUGGCUAGGACUGCACAGCUGGAAAAUGGCAAAAUCAGCUAAUUUAAGAAAAUAGACUGCCCACUGGGAAAGGAAAGCAACAAUGCCUUUGAAGGAUUCCUGCUGGCAUUAUUUGGCAUCAGAUGAAGAGGAAUAUCAGCAUGGCAAAGAACGGAAACAAACUCCUCGGCAGAAAGGACAGUGUACUUCUCUGCUUACAAAUCACCUCUCAAGUUGACAACAGGAAAGUUGUCUCAGGCCCUAACAUCUUUCAGAGACCUUGUCCACAGAACAGAAAGUCCUCAGUGAUAGAUCAAACAUGUAAAUGGAAAACUUGCAUGGCUCCAGCAUUGGGUGGAUAACUUUUAAUCAAAAGGUAAAAGUACAAAGUCUUUUUUUUUUUUUUUUUUUUUAAUCUUCU